rnacentral:misc_RNA from 1 species
GACGAACGCUGGCGGCGUGCUUAACACAUGCAAGUCGAACGGAGUACCCUCGAAAGAGAUUUCGGUCAAUGGAGAGGACUACUUAGUGGCGGACGGGUGAGUAACGCGUGAGGAACCUGCCUUUCAGAGGGGGACAACAGUUGGAAACGACUGCUAAUACCGCAUAACGUACGGGUAUCGCAUGGUACUGGUACCAAAGAUUUAUCGCUGAGAGAUGGCCUCGCGUCUGAUUAGCUAGUUGGUAGGGUAACGGCCUACCAAGGCGACGAUCAGUAGCCGGACUGAGAGGUUGGCCGGCCACAUUGGGACUGAGAUACGGCCCAGACUCCUACGGGAGGCAGCAGUGGGGAAUAUUGGGCAAUGGGCGCAAGCCUGACCCAGCAACGCCGCGUGAAGGAAGAAGGCUUUCGGGUUGUAAACUUCUUUUGACAGGGAAGAGCAGAAGACGGUACCUGUCGAAUAAGCCACGGCUAACUACGUGCCAGCAGCCGCGGUAAUACGUAGGUGGCAAGCGUUGUCCGGAUUUACUGGGUGUAAAGGGCGUGUAGCCGGGCUGACAAGUCAGAUGUGAAAUCCGGGGGCUCAACCCCCGAACUGCAUUUGAAACUGUUGGUCUUGAGUAUCGGAGAGGCAGGCGGAAUUCCUAGUGUAGCGGUGAAAUGCGUAGAUAUUAGGAGGAACACCAGUGGCGAAGGCGGCCUGCUGGACGACAACUGACGGUGAGGCGCGAAAGCGUGGGGAGCAAACAGGAUUAGAUACCCUGGUAGUCCACGCUGUAAACGAUGGAUACUAGGUGUGCGGGGACUGACCCCCUGCGUGCCGCAGCUAACGCAAUAAGUAUCCCACCUGGGGAGUACGAUCGCAAGGUUGAAACUCAAAGGAAUUGACGGGGGCCCGCACAAGCGGUGGAUUAUGUGGUUUAAUUCGAUGCAACGCGAAGAACCUUACCAGGGCUUGACAUCCUACUAACGAAGUAGAGAUACAUUAGGUACCCUUCGGGGGAAGUAGAGACAGGUGGUGCAUGGUUGUCGUCAGCUCGUGUCGUGAGAUGUUGGGUUAAGUCCCGCAACGAGCGCAACCCUUAUUGUUAGUUGCUACGCAAGAGCACUCUAGCGAGACUGCCGUUGACAAAACGGAGGAAGGUGGGGACGACGUCAAAUCAUCAUGCCCCUUAUGUCCUGGGCUACACACGUAAUACAAUGGCGGUCAACAGAGGGAUGCAAAACCGUGAGGUGGAGCGAACCCCUAAAAGCCGUCCCAGUUCAGAUCGCAGUCUGCAACCCGACUGCGUGAAGUCGGAAUCGCUAGUAAUCGCGGAUCAGCAUGCCGCGGUGAAUACGUUCCCGGGCCUUGUACACACCGCCCGUCACACCAUGAGAGUCGGGAACACCCGAAGUCCGUAGCCUAACCGCAAGGGGGGCGCGGCCGAAGGUGGGUUCGAUAAUUGGGGUGAAGUCGUAACAAGGUAGCCGUUCGAGAACGAGCGGCUGGAUCACCUCCUUUCUAAGGAGACAUCAAACAGACUGAGGUUUGUUUGUAACGUCCUAGGUCAGCUGGUGUAAAGGUUUAUUCGUUACAUUGUUUAAUUUAGAGGGCACUGGCUCUCGGAGAUAUGGGGAUAUAGCUCAGCUGGGAGAGCGCCUGCCUUGCAAGCAGGAGGUCGCCGGUUCGAUCCCGACUAUCUCCACCAAAGACGGGCUUGUAGCUCAGCUGGCUAGAGCGUACGACUGAUAAUCGUAAGGUCGGUGGUUCGAGCCCACUCAGGCCCACCAAUCUGAGUUAAGCUUAGAUAUAAGCUUUUAAGAGAUUAAAGGCUUAUAUCUGACCUUAAAGGUCAGGAGAUCGCACCUUGAAAACUGAACAAAGGAAGAAGAAUUUGAGAGUAAAGCAAGGCAACAGAGAGGUCUUUCAGAUGAAAGUCUGGAAGGUAGCAUGUUUAAUUGUGGAAUAACACCGAAAGGUGAAGGGUAAAAGCAAUUAGCCAAAGAAAACUUCUUUGUGAGGCCUGCAUAAUUCAACUAGAGAACUGAUCUAUCAAGAUCAUUCUAUGGUCAAGCUAUAAAGAGCGCAAGGGGAAUGCCUUGGCAUCAGGAGCCGAAGAAGGACGUGACAAGCUGCGAUAAGCCUCGGGGAGGAGCAAAUAUCCAUUGAUCCGGGGAUUUCCGAAUGGGGAAACCCACCAGAGCAAUACUCUGGUAGCGUGCGUUGAAUCAAAUAGGCGUACGUGGGGAACCGUCUGAACUGAAACAUCUAAGUAGGACGAGGAAGAGACAUCAACCGAGAUUCCGCUAGUAGUGGCGAGCGAACGCGGAAGAGGCCAAACCGGAGGAUUUAUUCUCCGGGGUUGCGGACCGGCAUAAGGGACAAUAGCUUAGGAGAACGGCAUGGGAAGGCCGGCCAUAGGGGGUGAGAGCCCCGUAUCCGAAAAGUGACGAUACCUGCUGAGUUCCAGAGUACCGCGGGACACGUGAAACCCCGUGGGAAACCGGGUGGACCACCAUCCAAGCCUAAAUACUACCUGAUGACCGAUAGAGGAGC